rnacentral:rRNA from 1 species
UACGUAGGGUCCGAGCGUUGUCCGGAAUUACUGGGCGUAAAGAGCUCGUAGGUGGUUUGUCGCGUUGUUCGUGAAAACUCACAGCUCAACUGUGGGCGUGCGGGCGAUACGGGCAGACUGGAGUACUGCAGGGGAGACUGGAAUUCCUGGUGUAGCGGUGGAAUGCGCAGAUAUCAGGAGGAACACCGGUGGCGAAGGCGACUCUUUGGCCUGUAACUGACGCUGAGGCGCGAAAGCGUGGGGAGCAAACAGG